ACGAACGCUGGCGGCGUGCUUAACCCCUGCAAGUCGAACGCUGAAGACCUGGCUUUUGUUGGGUUGGAUGAGUGGCGAACGGGUGAGUAACACGUGAGUAACCUGCCCUCUUCUUUGGGAUAACGCCCGGAAACGGGUGCUAAUACUGGAUAUUCACUGGCCUUCGCAUGGGGGUUGGUGGAAAGGUUUGUUCUGGUGGGGGAUGGGCUCGCGGCCUAUCAGCUUGUUGGUGGGGUGAUGGCCUACCAAGGCUUUGACGGGUAGCCGGCCUGAGAGGGUGACCGGUCACAUUGGGACUGAGAUACGGCCCAGACUCCUACGGGAGGCAGCAGUGGGGAAUAUUGCACAAUGGGCGAAAGCCUGAUGCAGCGACGCCGCGUGAGGGAUGGAGGCCUUCGGGUUGUAAACCUCUUUCGCUCAUGGUCAAGCCGCAACUGUGGGUUGUGGUGAGGGUAGUGGGUAAAGAAGCGCCGGCUAACUACGUG
rnacentral:rRNA from 1 species